GGAGUGAGCACCACAUUGUUCACAUUCUU
rnacentral:piRNA from 1 species